rnacentral:lncRNA from 1 species
AGCGCAUCAAUUAACAUCAAAGGAGGAUUGUGGUAGCAAGAAAAUCAACUUAAAUAGCAAGCAAAAGAAGGUAAGUUCCUAUUUUGAUUUUAAUAUUAGCAAUUGAGAACUUUAUGCUAGAUUGUUAUAAUUGAGUUGUAAUUAGUAACUUGUAGUUAAGGGAGUUUAUGAUGUGUGGAGUGAUAAUGGUUAAAUUUUUUUUGGCUAGACUUCAUCUAAAUCUCUAUGAAAUUUGGAUUCUAAAGCUAUGCAUAGUACAUGCUCGAUAAAUGCCCCUAAGAGGUUGUUAUGUUUAAAAAUUAAGAAUUGGUCAAUGUUGUGAGUAAGAAUAAAAUUUCUAAUUAACCUGAAAUAAUUACGUUUCUCUUCCAAAUGUUAAGUUGUACUGCCUCAAAAUAAUUGGAGCAUUUAUUUGUGAUGUAUACAGUAGGUUUUACUCAUGACAAUUCGCAUUGACUGAUUUUGAAGGAAUUUGAGGAGGUUUUUGGAAAUGAAGAGGGAUUAGCUAAAGAAAUUGCUUUCAGUGACUUGAGAAAUGUAGUCAAAAUACAAAUUAAUUGAUUCGUACCUUUGUAGUCACUUUUCAGAUUCAGUUUGCAGUUUCAAAAUCAAUUUUUUGUUACUAUUUCGGAAUCCUUUGUUUGGUUUGUGCAUGUCGGUUUUCGGAUGCUAUGUUUUUGCAUACAGAUUAAUUGCUUCGUACCUUUGUAGUCAAUUUCCAGAUUCAGUUUGC